AACGAACGCUGGCGGCAUGCCUAACACAUGCAAGUCGAACGAGACCUUCGGGUCUAGUUGCGCACGGGUGCGUAACGCGUGGGAACCUGCCCUUAGGUUCGGAAUAACUCCCCGAAAGGGGUGCUAAUACCGGGUAAUGUCUUCUGACCAAAGAUUUAUCGCCUUUGGAUGGGCCCGCGUUGGUUUAGCUAGUUGGUAGGGUAAAAGCCUACCAAGGCGACGAUCCAUAGCUGGUCUGAGAGGAUGAUCAGCCACACUGGGACUGAGACACGGCGCAGACUACUACGGGAGGCAGCAGUGGGGAAUAUUGGACAAUGGGGGAAAGGCUGAUCCAGCAAUGCCGCGUGAGUGAUGAAGGCCUUAGGGUUGUAAAGCUCUUUUACCCGGGAUGAUAAUGACAGUACCGGGAGAAUAAGCUCCGGCUAACUCCGUG
rnacentral:rRNA from 1 species